rnacentral:rRNA from 1 species
GUCUCUUUGAAAAAUUUUUAUGAUAAAGAGUUUGGCCUGCUCAGUGAUAUUUUUAACAGCUGCGGUAUUAUAACUGUACUAAGGUAGCAUAAUAAUUUGCCUUAUAAAUUAGGGCUAGAAUGAAUGGUUUGACGAAAAUUAUACUGUCUCUAUUUUAAUUGAUAGAAAUUAAUUUUUAUAGUGAAAAAGCUUAAAUAGUUUAAAGGGACGAGAAGACCCUAUUGAGCUUUAUAUUAGUUAUAAUAAAUGGUAAAAUAUAAUUUAUUACGUUUAUUGUGUUUAAUUUUGAUUGGGGUGAUCAAGGAAUAAAAUAAAUAUAAUUUAACUUCCUUAGAAAAAUUAUUUUUUAGAAUAAUUAACCAAUGAUAUUGCUUAUAUGAUAAGUUACCAUAGGGAUAACAGCGUAAUUUUUUUGGAGAGUUCAUAUUAAAAAAAAAGAUUGCGACCUCGAUGUUGGAUUAAAAUAACCAUAGGGUGAAGAGGCUUUAUAUGGUGAAUCUGUUCGAUUUUUAAAAUUUU